CCCGCGGCAGUGUUACUGACGUUCAUGCUCGAAGGUGCGGGUAUCGAACAGGAUUAGAUACCCUGGUAGUCCGCACGGUAAACGAUGGAUGCUCGCUGUCGGCGAUACACGGUCGGCGGCCUAGUGAAAGCAUUAAGCAUCCCACCUGGGGAGUACGCCGGCAACGGUGAAACUCAAAGGAAUUGACGGGGGCCCGCACAAGCGGAGGAACAUGUGGUUUAAUUCGAUGAUACGCGAGGAACCUUACCCGGGCUUGAAUUGCAGGUUUUGGACCAGAGAUGGUCCUUUCCCUUCGGGGUUCCUGUGAAGGUGCUGCAUGGUUGUCGUCAGCUCGUGCCGUGAGGUGUCGGCUUAAGUGCCAUAACGAGCGCAACCCCUUUCGUCAGUUGCCAUCAGGUUAAGCUGGGCACUCUGGCGACACUGCCACCGCAAGGUGUGAGGAAGGUGGGGAUGACGUCAAAUCAGCACGGCCCUUACGUCCGGGGCUACACACGUGUUACAAUGGGGCAUACAGAGCGUCGGCCUGUCGCAAGACGUGUCUAAUCGUGAAACUGUCCCUCAGUUCGGAUUGGGGUCUGCAACCCGACCCCAUGAAGCUGG
rnacentral:rRNA from 1 species